GCUGCGAUAACGUGGAAUCAAGAAUACGUCUCAUGAUCGCCGUACAAUUUACAACGUGCAGUAACCCACUUGUAGUCCGCUCCGAUUCUCUUCAAUAAAAAAAAAAAAAAAAGAAUUAGUGACCAAGCAAUUCAAAUGAAGCGGUAAAAGAUUAAGAUUAAGAUUUAAAUCGCGACGAGUGUUAAUACUAUCACAUACGUAAAAGAAAAUUAAUAUACUUUUUGUUAAAGAUGAGAUAAAUUUAAUGAAAUGAUAUCUAUAUCUCUAUCUUUGUCUAGAGGAUUCUGUUAUCAAUUUUCAAAUCUAUAUGAGUUUAUAUCUAGUGACGUUUUUAAUCUUUGCAAGUGUAAAACAUUUUUUUAUUAAUAUAAAUUUUAAAACAAUAAUUAAAAUAUAGAUUUUUUAAUGUCUGGAAAAGAAGAAACUUUUUUUAUUAGCAUCUAAUUUUAUGUAAAUUGUAUCUAAAUAUCGGAUAUAUAUAUAUAUAUAUUCAACUAUUAUUUAAUUUCACUUUUUGUACAUGUUAUUCCAAUUAUAUUCUUUAAAUAUAAUAAUUUAGGAGGAAAAUCGAUAUCAGAUGAAGAAUUCGGUCAAAUAUAAUUGAAACUCGACUCUGGUUGGCCAAAAAUAGUAUAUCGAUUUCACGAUUAUCUUAAUUUUAUUUUCUUUGGUUGAAAAUUAUAAAGCUAUUUCACGAUAAUCGUGUCCAAUUUCACGAAAGUAUAAAGUAUAUCAUUUAGAACUCAAUGAUUGAGUUCAAUCGUUUAUUAAUAAACAAUGUAUAAUUUAGUUAACUGUUCUUCAACGUUAAAUCCAAAUGUCAAUUACCUUACACAAGUUUCGACAAAUUCAACGUAACCAAACAAUUAUCAAUAAUUGAGUUAUUCGAGCCUUCCAAUUCAACUUCCGUCCAUUUUAGAAUAAAAACCUCCAACACUUGGAUUUCGAUCCAAUCAUAUCCGUACUCAAAAUCAUCCAUUCUACACUCAUCAUUACACAUUAUCACCAUCAUGGCGUCUCAAAGCCAUUAUUCCUCCUCAUUCUCCACCAAGAAUACUCACCAAAACCCCCAAACCUUUCGAGCAUCAAAUCUUCACUUCCGACAGAUGCGUUCAAGCUUCUUCUCCUCUUCGAGAGAGAGAAAGAGAGAGAGAGAGAGAGAGAGAGAGAGAGAGAGAGAGAGAGAGAAGCAGAGCAACAUACAUACGUACAUACAUAGGAUUAAACGUUGGGGUCCUCGCGUUAAUUUCGGACACCCGUUACAGGGCGACGAGCGUCCAAAGGGUGAAAAAACGCCGCGUGGACCAUCUUGGUGACGAUGCCCGAUGCCUCUCUCUCCAUCCUUCUCCUUCUCCCUCCCCCUAGCCUAACAACGCAUCCUGUUCGGGGUUUUAAAGAUUAUUUUUACUUCGGGACAAAAAAGAUCUGUCUGGCGACUCGGCGACGUGCACAUGUGCCUCGCUCGACCAAGAAGACGACGAGGAGGAGGACGAAUGUUUCGGUGAGCUUUUCGUUUCGCCCGCGGUCCAGCUCUUCGUGGGAGUUUAUCGCUUCUCUCUCGUUUCUUCCCGCUCGGUAUGCGUGCCGUGCAUCCUUCUCGUGCGUCCGUCGUAAAACGGACGGGAAAAGAGGGACACGGAGGAACGAAGAUAAAAGCGAACUGCGUCCCCAAAGCGGCUGCGCGUCGCGUUGGUAUAUCGGUGACCAGAGAUGGUCAAGAGGUCGGUUGAAACCGCACUGCAGGCUUCCUGUCUGCCUCUUGUACGUAAGUUAGAUACGAAAUUCUUUCUCCUUACGCUUGGUUAGAGUAGAUGGAUAGAGUGUUAAGUACGUUUGAGAGGAAAAAUUGAGCGUUGCUUUUGAAGGUUUUUUUUUUUUUGAUAGUAGGUAAUGAAUUGAGAAGUUAAAAGUUGUGGUAUAUAUCUCAAAUGUAUUUCGCAUCCUUAAUGUUUUUUUCGAAUCUAUGCUCGAUCACAGGUAAAACGUUUUGGUUGUAAUCUUUUGCAGGUGCGAAGGGGUUUCGGUGUAGGGGUCAAAGGGGUUCGCCUUCCGGCGCGCUUUGAUAUCACGCUGGCUUGAGUUUGCUUGGACAUCUUUGUCGACACUGGUCUUAUUGUGAGAUGUAGUUCCGCUUCUGAUAACGAGAACCGUGACUGUCCACGACAUCGGCCAAGCAUCAGGGUUAACGUCUAGCGUAUCCCGUGAAGAGAAUAAUAAAGCUUUUUCUUCGUCUUAUCUGCCUCCUCGAAUCUCUUCGCGUAACUGUAAAGGACCCAGUAACUGGCGGCCGGGACUCGGAUGACCCGACGAAUGGAUCUCAGGUAGAAAAAUCGAAAUUCGUAAAAAAACACAGUUGGAGGAAAGGAGAAAUGAUAAAGGGAGACGAACGAAACGAGGAUCGUCGCUGCUUCUGGACGCAGGCCAGCUGACCAACCGUGGGAAGAGCUUCCAUUCUUUUUUCUUCGGAGGGAUUCGAGAAAAUUACUUUUAAAUUGGCGAGCCACCGGUAAGAGGCAUCUUAGAUCCGAACAGGAAUGAUGAUUUGCGACGAGGAACCACGACAUUUUGAAACUUUGUUCGAGGCCUCGAGUUUCGUUCGUUAGAAAAUCGUGUCCUUCUAGUGGCGAAGGAAGUGGUCGAAAAUAGAUCGCUGCUAUCUUUUGGAACGACGGUGGAAUCGUUCUUUGUUGGUGAAAUCCAUGACUUUGAGGAUCACGAAAGUGUCUUUGCAAUAAUGUUGUUUUGCAAAUUUUAUUGUAAUGAAAUUAUUUUAUUUAUUCUAGUUAAAAAGUUAGGCCGUCAUUAAUUUUUUUAUUUAAAUUAGGACAUAUUAGGACUGUAAUAUAUAUAAAUAUGACAGAGACAUUAAUUGUUUGGUAAGUUUUUAUCGAAGAAUUUUUAUUUCUAAAGAUAUUUCUAAAACGUAUUACUCAUCAAGCUUGUUAUCUAGAUACAUAGAUAAGUUGCUCAAAAGGAAUAUGUCUCUACCAAACACAACUUCAAAAAAUUGAAAUAUCUUUCCUUUACCGUCCUAUCUUCGCAUUAUUUUAUUCCAAUUUCCAAAUUACAAAAACCUUUGACGAAAGCAAAAUAUCGAAUUCUGGCAGAGCUCUACGAUGAUAUAUUAUAUCAAUAAACAACUACUGAGACCCAUACGCAAUAAUAACACGAAGUAACACGAAGGAUUCUUCGAAAAGCAAAACAAAAACCUCGCCCCUCCAAUGUCGCUCUCUCCAAUUCAGUAAUAACACGUCCUCGUAACAACACAUAGACCAAACGUCCUGUAGACGUCGAGGAACGCGGUCGAAAAUAGAUCGAUGUCGCUUCGGUUGGUGAUAAUCAGAUUCCAUCGUGCCGUUUGUUAACACCGUUUGUUGAAUCGUCCAGGAAAUUUGUUCGUUGCCCCGUGAAAUCCGCGUCAUCGAUGUCUCGUCGUCGUCGUCGUCGUCGUCGUAGUCGUCAUGGCCUCCCCAACCGCGGCUACAUAUUUCACACUGGUGAAUAAAUAAACGAUUUCUGGGUAAGAGUUGAAGAAUUCGAGAAGGAGGUGGGGGAGGGGGAGGAAGAAGAGGCCGCUUUUCUUGACCGUGACAUGUGGCCGUUUCGAAAUAAAUUUUUCCACCGAGCAUCGACGACGACGACGACGACUACGACGACGAUCCUCUCUGUUUUCAGCUCCGCUGUCCCAUCUUUCUCCUCCUCCCUCGCUCCUCUUCGUGUUCGCACACUUUUCUCGGCUGUGUUUCUUUCGAAAGGGAGACUAUGCAUUUUUCGCCGGCUUAAAAAUAGGCGAUCAACGUGGCACCGCGAAACUGGCCAGAGGUCAGUCACUCCUCGGGCGCAACACUCGGGCGCAAAAAUAGCAGGCAAAAUGGAAAAAAAUAAUUUCCUCCUCGGUGAAUCCGACCGAAAUCUUGGAUACUGACGAUGUCGGUUCUGGAUGGACCUUCGUGUUCGAUGAUUUUCCUUCGAUUUACUUGGUUCAUUAAAUAAGUAAGUAAGUAAGUUUAUUCUUGCAUUUUUUCUCGUAUACGUGCAUUUAUUUGAAUAAAUAUUUAUAAGUUUUGUCGCAAGAUGGAAGAUUUGUUUCUCAUAUCUUUUUAUCUGCAUUACAGUAUUUCCUUUUGUUAGAAUUGGAACAAAUGGAUGGUUAAUACUACCUACACUAUUGAAAAUUAAGAGAAAGUUAUAUAAAAAUGUUAAAUCUAGUUCAUCGCAGAUAUGGGCAAAAAUAAAUCUUCAAAUCCUAGUGUGCAAAUUUUCACGCAAGCAUCAAAGCAUCAUAUCAAACUCGCUACAAUCAUAUGAACGAUCACCUCGGUAACCCAAACGAAAUUCGGUUACACAGAAGUCGAGCGUAACUUGGACCGAUUCCCAUACUGAUCCACCAUCAUUUCCACAAACCAAUGCCGUCCAUUGAGCAAAAGUUGCACUCUUCUUUCUUCGAAAUCGUGUUCAUUCGCGUUGCAUCAAGGCCCAGAUUGCGAGGUCCGAAUCUGCACCGUCAGCCCUGCUAGAUUUUUCACGGUCCCCGAUCUUCUUUGUAGGGGGCGCUGCCCGCUUGUCAUAUUUGCCUAUGAUGGACGAUUCAUCGAUAGAAAGGAAACACGGCAAACGUUUCCUCGGGAUGACGAGCGUGUUUCCCAUUCAGAGAGAAAGGUGGAGAAUAGAGAACGGUCGCAACACAUUUCGCCAAUUCCACACCGAUCCCGAUGAUUAUCGGUUGCCCAACUUUGAGAAUCCAAGGACGAGACCAAUUUUCCAGAGGUGAUCGCUAUUUCUUCCCUUUUUUCUUUUUUUUUUCCCCUCUCUUCUCCUGCGCAUUGCGGAUGGCCGAAAGGAAGGCCUCCCCCUUCUCUGCAGAGAAGAAUAAAUCGUGUCGCGUUUAGCCCGUGGCGUUUCUCGACCGAUCGGGCGAAACGAGGACCAGCAUCUGGACAAUUCUAUCUUUGAACUGGAAUUUCGUCUGGCGAGUGGGCUGGCUCGCGUCUUCGUUAUUUUCUUGACGAAUUGUUAUAUCGUGGGGGUGGUUGAAUCGUGGGAUUCGAAAUAAGAGAGGGAAUUUGUAUGGUUGUCCCAUUUUGGUUAAAAAUGUCUUUCUUAACGUUUUAAAUGUAUAAUAAUUGAAAUUUGUAAAUUUUCAGAUUCUUCUCGAGAAAGUAGGCUGGCUCGUUUUUAAACUAGUGCAAAGCAAUGUUUAAUUUUAUUUAAAGGAGAUUUGGAAGUUAAAAUAUUUUAAUCUGUUUUAAAAAUUUGAAAAAUUUUCAGAUACUUUUGUUUUUCCACGUUCUAUAUAAUUAUAGCGUCUUUCUUCGCGUUGAGUUGAUUUUGGAAACUGUUAAAAUUCGAGGAAUUGAUAGGGGAUACGGAUGUGACGUAAGAGUGGUAUUUCAUGUUGUUUGUGUAAACCUUCGUGGAAUGUUGGAUCAAUGUAAUGCAGUUAUAGUGAGUGGAUGGUAUUUUCCAAGGAUACAUCGUAUAGUUAAAUUCCUUCAAAUAACUUAUGUACAACUAUGCUCGUUAUAUAGAGCCGACAGUGAAUCAUAUAUCAGAUCGUUUAAAAAAUAGUUGUAUCCAUGAUAUUCAAAUAUUUUUUGUUUUAAAUCUCAGUUGAAUAUCGAUAUUGAUUUUUAAGAAAUCGUUUCAUUAAUAAUUAUUACAUCAAGAUUUUCUUAUUAAUAUUAUACGUUCACUUAUCAAGAUACGUUUCACUCUGUGUAUCGUGAGGUUAAGGGUUAACCCAUAGAAGAAAUAUUUAUUCCUAUCGACAGAUAUAGAGCUGUAAAGGCCGACUUUCCAUUCCAUUUUUAUACAAACAAUCGAUCCAUAACGUAGCUCUAAUAUCAUUGUUCAUACAUUUACGAGGUAUUACAAUAUUAGAUAAUUGAUUUAAAAAAUAAAAAAUCGAACGUUCAAUCACGAAUUUAAAAGAAAUUUAAAAAAAAAAAAAAAAAGAAAGAGAUUCCACGCAUAAUUUCCGCACUUACACAUAUUGUCCCCCAUAUUAAUUCCACAAAAAGGAAGGUAUAAGUCCGAAAAAGGAAAAGCACAGGAAGAAAUGAUUCAUCCACAAUUUCCUUCGAAACCAACCUACUUCGAAUCCUUCAAAAUUUCCUAAAAAAAAAAAAAGAAAGAAAGAAAGAAAGAAAGAAAGAAAUCUAUAUAUUCCAAUCUCCACGUAAAUCACUUGCACAUCUUUGUAUCCCCCGUAUUAAGCUCGAAUAGCUAAGAAAAAAGGAAGGUAUAAUCUGAAAGAACAGGAAGGAACAAUUCGUACGCUCGCACCGUCUCGAUAUCCGGCCAGUUAGAAUCGUGUUCGCCCCGGGCGUCCGGACAAAUCGUCCGAGAUAAAUGUCCAGAUUUCCCGGCGACACGUCGUCUAGCAUCAAUCCAGUCCUUUCUCCCUCCAAUGUGCGCUCACCCUCCUCUUACACGUAUAUAAAGGAGGAAACGGAGAGAAAACGUGGUGGAAGCGUGGCCCGUCUAAUCGUUUUACAGAAACGAACGAUCGGUGGUACGAUCGUGGAGGCUGGUUGCGCAUAGCCAGGCCAAGGAAAGUACGUGAACCUUGCGAAAUUUUCGUUUACACAGCCGCCCGUAUAUCAAAAGUUUAAUUGAAUUUUCGGCCGAGGCCUUGGCCCGGGGAGAUUAGGAUCGUGGCCGGCCUCUUUCUUCCCCUACCUCGUGUCUCUUUCCACCUACGACCCUGGCCGUCUUCCUGAUACUCACGUCCUCUUUAUCUGUGUACUUCGUCCUUACGCGAAUAUUAUUCUAGCUGCCCCUUCCACCUUUGAUUUUCAUCCGAUUGCGAGAUGGCAGGAAGCAUCUUCAAUUUGAUUCCACGAGAGAUUUCGAUGUCUGGUUUUUAUUAUAAUAGGCGGAUUUUUUUUUUUUUUUAGGUAAGUUGAGAUUUGAUAAUUAAUGCGGUUAAUGUUUUAUGUUAGUUAAUUCUGUAUUUUUGUAUUUUUAAGCGCGAUGAAGAUAUGAAAGAAUCAUCGUCGGUGCUUCUUUUUAUUCUGAAAUUUUUCUAAAGAUAUUAAACAUCCUUUUUAAAAAGGAAGGGAAAAGGAUAUCUUUUUUAAACGAGAAAUAAAAAUUUGAGGAUUUGGAUUUCUUUCAGCACGGAAAUUCCAGGUGGAAUGAUUUAGAUGUACAAUUAUUUUUCGGUUGAAAUACGUUGAAUUGUUUCAUUUUUGAAAGGAAAAUAUGGACGUGGUAUGUUUGAUUUAUGAGGGAUACAGGUUUUAUCAUUAGUGGUCAGGCGUAUUUUCUUAUAAAUUCUUGGGAGAAUUUCAAAGGAAAUGAAUACCCAGGUGUGUACAUAAAUCUAUCAUAUGCUAUAAUUCGCUUUUUUAUUUCCUCGAUGAGCUAGAAAAUUUACUUAUUUCAUAUUUCAAGGAUAUUAAGAAUAUAAAAUCUCGAAUAUAACGCAAAAAAUAUAAGUAAAUUAUUUCACCUACAGCAAAUUAAAGGAAUAAUACAAUAAAUUCGUAUUUAAAAAUUUCUCCCUAUGCGCAAUCUUCGUAAAAUUGUACGAUUGACGUGCAAAUUAUAUUUCUUUCUACGUCCAUAUCAUUCGAUAUACAAUUUUAUCGGACCAUUUCCACAAAUCAAACAAGUUCGUGUAAUGCAUCCUGAUAACGCACGACCUUCUUCUUGACAGAAUACGAAUAGAUAUUUGCAUAAUUACACGUUUUAUUGUACCCUUUUGGUCAUGAGGGUAAGAUCGAAUUUAUCUCAUUGGCCCUCACCUGUCCUGCACGAUGCGGGCCGGGACAACUGACCACCUGUACAGUCCCAGCAAUAAAGAAAAAAAAGGAACGAUCUAGCAUGCCCGUUAUUAAUGGGAGACUUCACAUUAACAGUUUAAUAACUGACGAUCGUAAUGUACUUCGCAUUUCCACUCAUAAAUUAAGAUAUCAUUAACAUGUAUACUGCAUUAAGUGCAUUAAAUUUCGCGCGAAAUCUUUGCAAAAAAGAAAUUCAUAUAAAUUAUAAGUAGUUGAAUUUUUUUCAAAUUUCCAAUCUCCAUUUGUAAAUUAAAAAUUUGCAAUCUUCUGUUUUAAAUUUCAAAUUUCGCAUCAUUUCUAAUUCUAAUUAUUAAAUUUCAAACUGGAAUAUGUAAUUUCGUAGAUUAAAUUAAAUAAUUUAAUGUUGUAAUGAAAAUUUAAAAGGUAUUUGUCGCAUUUCCAGCUAUCUUGAGUGACUCUCGCGGCCCAAAAUUCGUCACCUAAAAUCGACCCAAAUGGAAUUAAAUCUUCAUUCUCUCGACGGUUAGUUUCACAAAACGCUUUACACCCUGUAUCGGUCCGAUCGCUCUCGGAAAUUUUAACGAGAUCUCGAAAGCGGCCCUCUCUGGUUAAACAAAGGUUGGACACGUUGUCAGAAAAGGAUCUGCGGAGGUAACAUUCUUGCGGCUGGUGCGAGCCGCAUCUCGAAGAUCGAGGUUGCGUUCUCGUCGUUCAAAAACGACGAUCCCGCAGGUCGUAGCAACCGCGCGAAACAAUAGAAAAGCCAUAACUUUCUCCGCACGGCCAUAGUCGUUACAUCCUGUGUUUGGAGUGGCCGCGAAACGCGGAAAAAUCGCCCGUAUCGUGUCCUGUUUUAUUCUUAAAAAAAAAAAAAAGAAAGAAACAAAAGAGAAAAGAAAAAAAUUAAAUCAAAUUAAAGCAAUUAGAAUUUUUAGACUUUUAAAUUAUAAUUUCUUUCUUAAUUGUAAUUUGAAAUAUUAAAACUUGGAGUAGAACUUUUAUAAUAAAUUUUUAUAACAUAUUAUAUAUUUAUAAAGAAAAAUGAAUGAAGUGAAGUUUCUGUGAAAAGAAGAGUAAGAAAGAAAAUAUCGUUUAAAAGUGAUGGAAGUUAUAGAUGGAGUAGAAGAGAAAAUUUAAGAAAUUUGAAUUGAUAGCUUUGAAUUCGUAGCCGACUAAUUAUAAAUUAUGGUUCCAAAUUACAUCCUUCCCACUAACAAUAAGACACGUCUUCAUAACUUCGAAAGAUGUAUUGAGCAUUUCAUAAUAAUAAAUGCGCAUCACUAAUUCAUGAAAAGCAUCAGUAGACUGACCUUUAGUACCAUUAUAUAUUGACUCUUCUGCCUGUCAAUUAUUGAAUAUCAUACGAUUAUAAAAUUAUUUAUAUAAGACAUUAAUUAUGCACAACAAUUUAAUAGUUGGCUAUCUCGAUACCGGAUGCAAUGAUAUGAUUCAAAAAUUUCGAGAAAAGGAACGAUUCAUCGAGGAAAUUUGAUGCGUGCAAUUUCUAAUAAAUAAAUAAGUAAUUUUAGUUUCUAAAAUUAAAAAGAAAAGUCGAUAAACGAAACGGGGAAACGAAGAAAUAAAAAGACACCGUUCAUUCUCAAUUUAGAAGAAGAACGUAGUGGGGGAGUAAAAUUCGGUAGGCGCACCGUUACAGACGUCUAAUCAGAAAAUUGAAUCGUCUUCUCACGUCUCGCCUCUCCUCUCCCUUCUCCCCGCCCCCUCCCUCCUCUUCUCGCGAUUCUUUCUUCUCUCUGUUCUCUUUUGCCACCGAUUCCAUCGUUCCUCCUCUCGUCCUCUUUUUUUAUUCUCUUCCCCUGUUCCGAUGUCGGACUGUACGACCCGCAUGUCGUUUACGAGACGAGAGGCCGAAUAGAUGGCCGGAACGCGCGUGUCCGCUCCUCUCCGCUCGUCCCGCUUGUGAGGAGGCCGCAAUGGGGACACAUGUCAAAACAAUUGGCACACAGGUGUAUCGAAUUUACCGAAGAAAACGGCGGAGGACGGUCGAAAGAAUCGUGGUGUUGCGUCAUCGGGGCCCCUCCUUGGGCUCGAUCCUCUUCAACCGGCCGAUCGACGAGUCGCGACGGCUGUUGCAGUCCAAGCUUUUUGUUUCCUGGGAUGGAGAAGAAUUCGUGUUGAUGGAUCGUCUUGUGGCUGGUACGAGAGGGAAUGAAAGCUGAGUUAAGAGGCUCGAGAUGAAGACGAUGAUUGGAAAGAUAGAGUAAGAGGAUUUGAAAGAAAAUGUACAGUUGUGUAUUUAAAACAAUUUAAAGGAAAGAGAUAAUCCAUUGAUUCGAAUGAAAUUUGAUAAAUUGAUCGAUCACAAUUUUGUUUAAUCUUUUGAAAAAUUAAAACCAAUCAUUCUAUAGAUAGAACCACUUAUUUUAUACUAAUAAAAUAAAUAUUCGUAUUUUCUUAUUGUCUCUCCUCUUUGAUACAAGUAAAUUUAUUAAGAGAAAAUAAUAAUAAUAACGAUACUUCGAGUUAAAUUAAAUUCUUAUUCUAAAAAAAUGUGCCGAAAUAAACGAGUAACCAGGAUAAAAUUUUGUUCAAGUUCAUCGAUUUGCAUUCGUAUGGAGGUGAUUGAAUGGCGGCCGAUUCGCGUGUCCCUGCUGGUAGCGUGCCACGACUUCGACCGGCUCCUUUCGAGCAUCAUCGAUGUCGAAAGUUACGAUUAUCGUUUCCGCGCCGGGUACACGCGCGCACGUAGGAAGACGUUACCAUUGCGAUCGAAAACACACGAGUUGAAUUCUCCUCGUUGAAAGCGGGAGAAACAAAGACACGAGACGCGACCAGACGUUAAGCACCAUUUGAAGAGGCGAGGAGGAUCGGCGCGAAAAGCGGGAAGGAGGAGAUGCAGCAGGGAUGUAGGAAGAGAGAACGAAGGGGAAGAGUGAAAAUGAACUGGGACAAGAUGAGAUCGAAAUCAGGAAUUUCGAAAUUUGUAUAAAAUACCGGGAGAUAUUUUGAGAAGAAUUGAUUUUUCUUUUCUCGUUAAUACUUUACAAUUCUUUGUUCUAUCUUUUUGUGAGUAUAUGUAGUUUCGAUUUCAAAUUUCAAUUAUUCGAGAUAAAUAGGUAAUUUUAAAUUCUUUAAAGGUAAUUCUAAUUUAAAUAUUCUAUAAUUGAUAAUUAGCAUAACGUAAUAAAAAGUUGUAACAAUUGCUUCACCAAUUAGCAAUAAAAUUCUUCUCGGCGUGCAAUUAUAAUAUUACAAGAAAAAUUAAGAUUUUCUUUAAAUAAUUAUUUCUUUCUCGGAAUAUACCAUAUACCGUAUAUAUCACAUUCUAUCGUUGCAAGAGGAAUUGCGUCUCGAUACCUCUCUUUUCGUCUCCAUUUUCGACAAGAGAACACCGAGAACGAGACGUGCGUUCGUGCGGCGCGUGUUGGUGGUCGCGGGGAAAGGACGAGAGCAGACCAAAGUGGAGGAGAGAAUACGUGGAGAAGAGGAGAGGGUGGAGGAGGUGACGGUGUGCGAUGGUGGAAGAGGGACGUGGCGGUGGGACGAGGGGGAGAAAAAUGACAAUCAUCGUCAUUUUAAUAAUAUGCAAAGGUAUAGUCGACUUCCACGCCGGGCAAGUGUGGCCACAAUGGCGUUAUAUAAUGACAAAGACACGCCGGGUCGGCUGGGUACCUUUCGCUCGACAAAAGGCGCGGCGUUAGGGUCAUCCUACCGGACCGGAACAUGUUUUGUCCGGCGCGGACAAAUGUCACCGAUAAUGUCUUGGAGGACUGGCGGGGAGCGUGGAGGAGUCAAAAUAACUGUUGGAACGGAAAAUAUUGUCGGCGUUUGGAACCGCGGAAAAAAGCUUUGUCGAUGAAAAAAAGAUGUUUGAUCGAUGGAUUUGAUAAGUGUAGAUGGUUGAUAUUCCAGUAUUAUGGAAAUUGGAAGAAAAUUCUUGCUGUUAAGAGAAUUAAUAGAUGAAUAUAUCGUUAAUUAUAUUUAUCGUGCUGUGAUAUCCCGAAGAAUAACGAAGAUCCGUUCCUGCGUAUAAUUUUAGAAAAUUAUAUUACGACAAAAUUUAUAAUAUUAUUUAUUACAAUUGAAAUCCCUUGACGAAUUUUGCAUUUCCUUUGUUAAGAAGAUAGAAGAGGACACAAAGAGGAUUUCAUUCUGAUGAUAAUACUUAAAUCUAAUGCAUAUAUAGAUUCAAUGUGCAAAUACUUUUUUGCAUCUAUUACAUCAAUCCAAUACUUGUAAUCCACGGAUCCAGAAAAGGUGACCGUAAUCCUUCGUAUUUACUUCUUCCUCCCGAUUCCCUGAAUUAUUAAAGAAAAGAACAGCCACAAUCGCAAUAUCAUAUCAUCGAAGGCAUCACACUUACGUGCCACAGAUUCACACCCACCAAGCGGAAUGCAGAGUCUCGGGCAAGAGACAGUAACUAGGAACGCCUAGCUUCUCCACAUACGUGCGUCAAGUUUAUCGCUGUUGGAAAAUCGUUCCUUCGUUAUUCUCAACUGGUGAUCCUGGUCACGUGUUACGCAUCUCUGCACGUCCAAGUAUCUCGAUGGCUUGAAAAUGGCGUUUGUUGAUAUCACCCUUCUCCAAAGGCGAGAUAUUAUUGGGAAUCUGGACUCUGGUGUUCGUGGGCACGAUCGAAACCGCGAGAAGAGGCUACGUUCCGGGGUAACGUACGAGGUGAUCUUUCACGAUCGAUCUUCACGAAUACACACACGUAUGUGUAUACCGGGGCACACGGUGUGCCCCCGUCGACACGGUGCGCCUCUGCCUCUCUCUCUUUUUCUCUUUCUCUCUUCCUAUUGAGCCUUGUGUACGCUCUGAUAUUCAAAUCGCGGCUAAGCCUGCUCUUAACGGUACGAGAUCGAGCGACGUAGAUGUUCUAAAAUCAUGUGUGGAGAUAAAAAUUUGUCUGAAGAUUCGAUAGAUUGGAGAUGGAUGUUUGGAGGUCAGAUUGGAGGUGGGAAUGUGGCGAUAGAAUUUGAACUGGAUACGAUUUUGGGGACGGUGAUUGAAAUUUUUGGAGAUUGUAGAGGAUAUUAUUUGAAAUUGUGAACAAGGAGGAAUUUUUUUUAUCUUAUAUUCUUCAAUAUUUGUCAAGUGUAUGAAGAUAUUGAGUAUCAAGAGUGGAGACUGAUCAUAGAGUUUCAUCAAUGGCGGAGGAAACAAUCUCAAGAGGAAAUUUUUAAAAAUCGUAACUCUUUAAAUUUUAAAGGGUAAGAAAUAUGAAAGUAAUAAAGGAAAGAAUAUAAGGAUAUAAGAAAAUCGAAGAUUUUCGGAAAAACAAUGGAAAACGAUGAGAUAUAAUUAUUUUAUCUCGUAAAAAUAUCUUAGGAAUUAUGAGAUAAAUAAUUGAAAUUUAUAAUAUUUAAGAAAACUAUUUGCGAAUAGCCGUAUUUCAGAGAUUGUAUUAAAAUGAGCCAGGUUUAAAGUACUUACGUAGUUAAAAUGCUUCGAACUGACCUAUUGCAAAAGCUGGCCAUUAAGUUGUACCUAUUGCGAAAGCUGUUCGAUAUGUGACUGUUGCGGAAGCCACGCGGUACCGUUUGUUUUUUUUCACAAUACGCGAUUAAAAUUCCAACGCGAGGUGGUGUUAGCGGCCGUCAACUUUCUAAAGAUUGUAUUAAAUCUCAGAUUUAAAGAUUUCAAGCCGAUCCGUUGUAACAGCUCCACAUUGUCAUCCUGUCCCAAUGUGUGAUUAAAAUUUCUGUGACACACUUAUUUUGUAACUGUUAAUAAUUCGGACAUUGUAUUAAAAUGAGACGAAUUUAUAUAUUCGUCACACGUUCCUCGCACGGUCCACCCUGUCAUAAUCGAAUAAUAUUAUCUUUCUUCAAAUUAAAAUUGAAUAGAUCCUCCUUAACGAAAAUCCCGAAAAUUAAUUCGUUCCCCAUCUUCGAAGGGAUGUCUUCCCCCCCUUCGAGAUCCUCGCAUCAAUUUCCAUGUUUCGCAAAAUCUCUAUAUCCGAUCUUUCAAACGCGCAGCAAGGGUAGAAGAAGAAAAAAAAGAAAAGAAAAGAAGAAAAGGAAACAGAGUCGAGUGGUCUCGAAGCGAGAAAUGUCGGUCAGCCGGGGCGCGACGCAUCUCUUUGGCGAGGAGGCUGCUUAAAAAUUCGGACAAUACUUCCUCGUGCGUCGGCCUCCAUUUAAAUGUCUGGGACACUUUCUAGCGAAGCGCUGCACCCACCUACACUUCUUCCUCACCCUCCCCUCCACUAUCCAUCGGGAGGUUUCACCAUCCUCGUCUCGAUCACACUCCUUCUUUCCACCAGUGCUCUUCCUUCUCUCUCUCUCUCUACACGUCGCUUUUUGCUGCGCUGUCUCCGCUCCGUUCUCUCCUAGCCAUUGUCCCGUCACGCGGUGUCGAAUUCGAGAUUGCGACGCUUUUUCGAUUAUUUUCGCGGCCGAUGAUCUCACGACUUUGUGAUCCACGCGAUGGAAUAUCGAUUUGAGCCACAUUGUGAUAUUUGAGGCAGCCGAGUGGUGGUGAGACAAGAGGGAGAAAUAAGAGAGGAGGAGUUGGUCGGUGAAAUAAUCGUUCGAGGCGUGAAGUAGCCUCUCUCAUUGUUCCAGAUAAGUAUAUAACAAGUUUGUUUUUAAAUUAUUACUUUCGAGUCAUUUGAAUAAGUUACUUGGAUAAUUCCUGUGAAAACUGUCGUAUUGGAUUAUAAAUAUUCUCUAUCUCGUUCUCUUUUACAAUAAAAAUAGUAGAAGAUCGCAAGAUCUGUCUCCCAUCCGACGAUGAUUAAUAACAAUAUUUGAUUUCCUCUAUUCGAUUAUUCCCGUUGAUCCAUAAAUAAUAAAUAAUUUCAGAGAAGAAGAACGCAUCUAAUGAUUUGAAUUCGAAACGAAUCUAACAUGGACCAAGGAUGGAGGCAGCGAAACCUUCCGAUGGAAGGGAUUGUCGAGCAUCAAACGAAAUUUCCAACCACAUAUCAUGAAUGGACACGGCCCAAGCUGGCCUCACGAUGCCACGGCAUGCUCCUGGUCCGGACGACUAUGACAUAUGGGUAGCGCAAAAACCACCAAUGCUGAUCGAUUGGCCACGCUAACCAACCCCUAACGUUUCCUUCUUUUUCCAACGCGAGCCUUUCUUCGUCCUCACUAUAGGCCAGGGUAAACACGAUGCUAUUUACCGCGAGGUUCCUUUCUUAAGCCAGAAAGAGGCGAUGGAUAUUGGGUGGAUGUUGGUCUUGAGAAUUUUUUCAGGCCAUCGAUAAGCUAGAUUCGAAGUAUUUUGGAAUUUUCUUGUUUCUUGUUCAAAAGUAGAUCGUAUUCGUAAGAGAGAGAAUAUCCGAUGGAGUUUGUAUGAAGGAGAUAAUUGUGCGAGUAAGUGAGAAUUAAUGGAGGAUAUAAUUAAUAAUUGAUUAUUGUUUCCUCCAAAUUAUUUUGUUCAAGGGGAAAGUAAUUGGAAAUUAAUAAAGAAUAAAUCAACAUUGAAUAGGUAGGUGCAUUUAUAUAUUUAAAAUGUAAAUAUUUUUAUAUAUUUUAUGCAGGUAUAACUUAAGAAACUUUCUCUAUUUACAUUUUCAUCUUCUCAAUACAAUAAUAACACUUCGUUUCUAUUAUUAUUAUGAUUACAUAUCGAACUUUAUUUCACCCGACGACAAUUAUACUUUUCGAAUAUUUAAUUUCUAAAUUAUACGUGCGCGGUAAUUAAUUCAGAUAAGAGCCCAAUGACUGUUCGAAAUAAACUUCAUUGCCAGCAAACGAAAGGAAACAAAACCAAUAAAUCCGUCGCACCGUUGCAAACCAAUCCCCCCUGGAAACUACAUAAAAUCAUCAUACAAUCGUUUAAAACAAUUCCAAAACAAAUUUCACAAUCAUCUCAUCAGCAUACACCUCCCACCGCCUCCAAACCCGACUCUCCAACCGUACUCCACACCGAUCCAUCCGAUCGUCGGUGUGCAUCGUGAGAUUGCCAACGGUUAGGAGGAAGGCGCGUACCCUGAAAUUUACAACCGAUCAGUCGAUUAACGCCGAUUCCCGGCUUCCAAUUACACUCAUCACGAACACUAUUCAAUUAACGAUAGAAAUUUCAUCGAUGGAAGAAGCUACUCUCCUCCGAAUAUAUCGAACAAACAUAUUGCAACACUCUUGGAAAAAUAUAAAUUGAGAAAUUUCUCGAAAUUCCAUGUAAUUUUACAAUUUCAUCAGAUAGAAAAAUUAUAAUUCCUCUCCCAUUCAAGAAACCUUCCACACUUUUGAUCAAUAAUAUAAUUGUACGAGUGGAUUCCGAUUAUACAUAUAUAUAAAAAAAAAAGAAAUCAAUCAAAUUCAAAGAUCAAGUCAUCUUCUUAUCAACACAUGACCUUCGCAAAAUCUACAAAGAUUUUCUUCCCGAAAGAAGAUAAGUUUCUCUCUCUCUAACCUACGAAGAACAAGGAUCCUCGAAUCGGGCCAGGACGAAGUCCGUCCCUCGAAAGCGACGCCAUGGUCGAUCGAUCGGCAAUCGCGUCCGAUAUAUCGAGUCCUACAAACGACGUCUAUAAAAGGUCCCCCCUUUUCCAUCCGUCACAGCCCCCCCUUCCCUCCUCUCGUUGCUCUUUCCCUGGAUAUCUGUUCACCGUUGAGCGCGCGGGCCUCUUAGGCCGCAUUCGCACGAUCCUCGAUGCCGGGCCACCUUCGCCACGACCUCCUCUCCCUUCCCCCCCUCUCUCCUUCUCUCUCUCUCUCUCUUCUCAGUGCAGCUACGGUGAAGGCUUCGCCUCUGUGUCGUAGGUGGUCGGCCACGACCACGAUGCAUCGAAUCGUUCUCGUCGGGGAACGAAGGUGGAUAUAUGUGUGCGCAUACGACGAGGAGAUCGCUGGACGACGGUCACUACUCAUCGCCGGGAGCCGAAAGUUCAUCGGUACGGUUAACCGGCACGGCACGGUACUGCUAGGCACGCUCUAGCAGUCUCGUCCUCCUAUGAUUUCCUCUCCCGUGUUUCGAUCUUCGAAACCGUACGCGAGAUUUGAUUUUCGUUGCUUAUUAUCCUCCUUGAUUGAACGAAGAAUUAGAUUCCUCUUAUCUUAAUUUGGGAUUUAAUUGCGUGUUACGAUCUUCUGUCAACGCUUGUUCAAUUUUCGUCGCUUCUUCUUUUUCUUCCUUUGCAUUUAUUGAGAUGUUGAUGCUCGUUGAGCAUUAUAUGUGUGUGUGUGUGUGUGUGUGUGUGUGUGUGUGUGUGUGUGUGUGUGUGUGUGUGUGUACAUGUAUGUGUCUUGUUUAGAAUAUUUGUUGAUUAUAGAAAUAGGAAGGGUUAAAGGGUGAAUUUGAUGAUUAAUUAUUGCAGUAAUAUUAGAAGAAUAAGGAAGAAAGAAGGCAUUAGAAGAAAGAAAUUUGUAUUAAUUCGUAUUGUCGCAAUUAUGGACAACGGUUAUCAUCGAUUAAAUUACGUGUAUCUUAUUACAUAUAGAUCUUCAAACAUCGCAAUCUCUUCGCUUAAAUCUUCGGUAAACACACCUUGACGUACUUCAGCAAUAUUUUUAUCGUAAAACGGUGAAACGAGAAAUCGUGACGAUAGUUACACCAUAUCGCGCAAACUAAUUCACAUAUUCACAUGCAUCUGCUCAAUGGCAAGAGCUUGCCGUAAUUACGAUUCGCCUUGAGAACCUGUUUCAACCAAUCUUUUCUAACCUGAUAAAUUCCUCAAACGCGCAUAAAUUCCGGGCUAAUUACCUUACGUCUCGUUUAAUUUCCGAACAACGAACCGAAACGAAGAUCGAACGACGCAUCAAGAUUAUUUGUAAUUAUAUAUAAAAAAAAAAAAAAAAGAAAAAGAAUUUGUUCAAUCAUACGAUCAUACAAUCAUCAAAUUCGAGCACCUCAAGAAAAAAGAAAAAGAGGAGGGAAAAUUAAUUUCCCCGAGAAUGCAUUGCCCUUACGAUUUCCUUAAGUCACGAGCCUUCUAAAAAAGAAAAAUCAGAACCAUUAUCAUAUCACAAACCCAAUCUCCUCUCCGCUCAAUACCCAACUCGUAACUCUCUCCCGUUCCUCUUCUUCCACCGAUCCUCGUGAGCCACUGUUCUCCUCUUAUCCCCGUCUUUAGAGGAGCCGACCAGCUCAGCUAGGUGACUCUUUGACUCCUGAGCGGCCAACUGUAUAGGUCGGCCGAGUUCUAGUUUUAAAGGACAUGCACGUAAGUACAUCCACACGCUUACGUGUACACGAUAUACACGUCUGCGCCCUGUGAGCUAAGUGGCACGAGGAUAUUUGUAGGUGAAAACACGUUCCUGGUUCAGAGGCAGUUUAACCCCUUCGCGGCCGCUCGUCCCUCUCGACGUCACCUCGAAGCGGGAUCGAGCGUGCGUGGGACGUUCAUGGAAGCCGAUCCGAAAUAUUCGCUACGUGUACGUGCUACGCUUGGGGCUCGAAAAUGACUUACGACUGACUGACAGACCCUUUGUUUCGAACCGUUCGAAUGGUAGGUGUGAAUGGGCGAAUUGUAACGCGACUUCUGAUACAUGAUUUCCAUGCUUGCUCAUUCUCGCUUUGUACCUUUUUCGAGGAUCGAAGUUAUUGCUCUGCGUUUCUGAUCGUUUGUGCCGAGGAUUGGAAUUCGGGAUUGAUUUUUAAAAUAUCUCCGCGCGUCUACGCGUUUCUUUAAACAAUUUUUAUGGAGAGCUUGUAAACUUAAAGAAAGAAAAAUUUGUAAUAUACUUAUUGGUUAAUAUUAUUCUUGGUAUUAAUUUUAAAGUAUCUGAGAAUCUUGGAAAUUGAAUAUUUUUAUACACAAGGAUUCGAUAUUAAGAAUUUUGGAAUAUUUGUACCCGUUGAAUUAUGUAAUUUCUGAAAGGGAAGGAAAUAUCGUAUCGUAAUCAAUUGGAGUAAUGUUUGGAUGUUAUGGUAAACAGGACACAAGUUGUCAAUACGACUAAAUCAGUCUAAUUAGAUAUACUCUAUUAAUUACUCCUCGUUUGUUUAAACUGUUCAUUUAUUAUCGAAAUUAUUCGAUAAUGAAAAGUAUAAAUCCAAGAAGGAAAGGACAAGAGAAGCAAUCAUUCCAUAUUAACCAAAUAUUUCAUUCGAUACCUCCGUGAUAGCAAAAGCGGGUCAAUUAAACCCGCCACGAUUUGCCGACGGGCUCAUCAAUUAGCCACGAGUGUGACCACGAGUCGCAUCGAGCAAAUUUCCCAUUCGACGGCUCGUUGGAACAACAUUUAAUAAGGAGAGGCAUCACGUGAAAGCAACGGUCUCUCGUUCGCGGGGCAUUAGUCAAUUAAAUCUAACCGAUGGACUGAUUAGCUGGCGGAAUAGACCACGGGGGUCAUUACUGCCGUGCGAUCUGGCAGAAGCCAAAAGUUCAUGCCACGGCGCUAAGCGAGAUUCCCCACUUACGUGACUGUAUGCAUCCUACUAUCGUAUUAUCGUAUAUGCAAAUCUCCAGAUACUUAGCAAGUUUUGAUUUAUCCGAAAUUUACCUUACCUCUUUAUUUCUUUAUUUUCCUCGUGUUAUUGAAAAUAGAUGACGAUGAUGAAUAUUAUUAUCGGUAUUAAAUUGUUUUAUUAAAUAAUAAUCAAUUUUCGAAACACGUAACUCGUAUUCCAAUUAAAAAUAUCCUAAUAAACUAAUUAAUUAUUAAUCGAACAAUUAAUAUAUAUUAUAAUUACAAUAUCACUAAUACACCAAUAUUUUUUUUUCAGUUACCAGAACCGGCCUUUCUCUCUUUCUCUCUCUUUCCUCGUGGCCGAUUCUUUUCCUCCAACGUCCGUGUGCAGAGGAGCCGGUGGCUCUUCUCCUCUCGGCGACGUCGUCGCAGAGGCCGACCGAGUUCGAGUUUUAAAAGACGGGCGACACAACACACGAGAAUCGUGAGUCGAGCAGAACGCCACAGCACCGCGAGUUCUCCACAGCUCCCCGAUAUAUAGGGCAACCGUAGAGUCUCACGGUUUCUGCGAGCUAUUCAUCUGCAUACUCUCCCCCCGCUCCCCCGCCCCCGCACCUCCUUGCACACGCUUUUUCUCCGCUCUCCUUCCUAUUCCCAACCGCCAACCCUAUCUCACCGUGAAAUUUAUCGGAUUAAUUGUUAGCGAGACACGCGUCACGCUCCUCGUCGUUCUUCUCUCUCUCUCUUCCUUUUUUUAUUUUCUUUCCGUUUUUUUCUUUCCUUCUUUCUUUUAGUACCGGUUGCCCUCUUGACAGCAGCAGUUGAGAGAAACGCGAGUUUUGAGAGAGGCAGAGAAGGACUUUGGAAGGUUUGAUGGUCGGUCGAUGAGGUUUGCUUGGUUCUUUUUUUUUUUUUGGAGGAGGAAGAGGAGAAAUUUGAGGUCGAUUGUUGAUAUUAGAAGAACGGGAAGAGAUUUGAAUGAAAUUUCGUGCAUUAGAAUCGCUUUCUGUUCUAAUAUCUUUCUUUCGAAAAUAGUUAAGACACGUAAAUUAAAUACAAUAUAAUUGCACGAGUAAUAGGAUGAUAGUUUACAGGCUACAGUAGUAUUGGAAGCAAAAUUUGAAUCUUAAUUUUCCUUAGCUUAAAAUGAUCAUUCCUUCGAAAAGGCAAAAUCAAUCCAAAAUUAACGGAGAAUUUUCCGCAACCCCCGCGCAAGCCAAGCCAUCCCUCGUUCCACGAAAGCAAAAUCCAGCGAUCUCUCGAAGGCAAGAAGGCAUCAAAGGAUAAGAAAACGGUUACUCUUCCCUCUCAUCCGACGAGUAAUUCGCAAUCGGCGUUAUCCCCGGCGAAAGAGAGAGCCGCGAGGCAGAAUUCGUCGUCGGCGGCGAGGCGUGCAGAGAUGAAGGAGGGCCGCGGUAGUAGGAAGCCUCAACCCGACGGCUGAAUAAUAGAAGUAGGAAGCGAAAACCGUCCAAGGCGGUGACGACAGUGGUGGCGGGAAAAAUCGGCAAAGCGCAUUACACGAAAUCACAAUGUUUAAUGAAAAUUGCGGAUGGCGGAGCGCGUUACACGAGGCUGAUCCCGGUUGCACGGUCGAUGGCCGAGUAUUAGAUCCGGCCGUGUCGUCGCCUCGUGUAGCCACGGUUGCCGGCCGAAUCGUGACGCGGCGAAGCGGUAUUCAGAUUGCACUCUUAGCGGUUUUGCCGAUUUUUUCUCGCCGCGACAAAAGGGGAAUUUCUGUAACCAGUGGUCAGGCGGCGACCAGCCUCGAGAGUUUGAGCUUAAAAUGCGUACGAUUGUUUUUAUGUUUUUGCCCCUUGCAGAUUGGGUAAAUUGUUUUUCAGAUGCGAAAGAUGCAAGUUCUUUUCUAUCGAUCGCUAUUCUCGUAACAAGGUUUCAGGUGGAACAAGGUACGAAAGUUUAAGAAGAUUUAUCAAAGUAUUUAUAGCUUGAAGCGGAGGUUUAUCUUCUUUAUUUUAUUAUCUCCUUUUUGUGAUUGGUUCUAAAUCAUACAUCGGAUAUUACAAAUUACGUAUCAGUAAGAAAAGAGCGACUCAAGAGCGUUGAAACACUUAAACGCUUAAACAAAGUACAAAAUUUCGAACUUGCUGAUCUAUAUUACGAAUGAAAUUAACCAAGCAAACCUACAAAGGAUAAAAAAAUCUCAUUUCAUAGCCAAAUGUUAGCCGAUGUUAAUCAAAAACAAGGAAAAGAAAGUAAAUAAACAGGUGACAAGUGCACGCAAAUAAUCGCAAGUGAGUCACGCAUUCUCCACAAUGGCCAUUCGACUUAGUGCCUAUCUCCAUCCAUUCCCGAGGCGCAUAUCUCGGAACACAGGCAUCCGAGUAUCGACAAUUGGCGUAAUGUCGGUCAUUUGUAACCCAUCACCGAAACACGCUACCAAUCUCCCACUCUCUCUCCAUCCCAUCUCUCUCUCUCUCUCUUCACGAAUAUUCGCUUCGAAAUAUUGAUAGAAAACCCGCGUUGGAAGGAGAAGCAACGUUCCGUUUAGUCCGGCUUCUGUUCCACUUGGCCAUAAAGGAUCUUCUCGGCUCUCACAUAUGAGGAGACCGAUGCCUAUCGAGAGAUAGGCGCAUCUUCACCGCCGAGUUUCGAUCGUUACCGAAACGAGAUCGUUAUCGUCGACACGGAUGCGCGAUAGAUCAACCCGCUCGCUGAUUUCCUCGCCACGUUCAAGGAUGAGGCUCGUAGCAAAUUCAGCGCCGAAUGUAUUGCCUCGUACCAGCUUAUCGGCGGUGAUAUCGUUUGCUCAUUUUUCCCGCUUUUAUCGCGACCUGAUUACUCCUCGCCCGAUCUAUGCUUCCCGCAUGGGAAACCGGGUCUCCAACGAUUGGACAAACUCGGCUGGAUUUCUUCUUUCUCUCGUCGCGCUCGUGAAUUUUCUUCGUUUAUAUUUGAGAAUAUUUGAGAAAAUGUUCGCGAGAGAUUCUUCUAUGUGUAAAUCUGUAAUGUUAUAUUGUUAAUCCCGGAGGAAGUGGACAAUUUCAUCUUGCAAUUCAUUCUUGCAAAUUUCGCGUCAAGCCUGCGAGACUCUCGAGGAAAAUUUUACGAAUUUCAUUGGAUUCAACGAAAUUUCUACGGUUCCUAGAAGAAAGAAGAAGGAAAAAUUUCGGAAAAAGCAAUCACGUCACGUCCUCGCCACGGUUCAACGUCUAGACGCUUAGAGCGGACGUAUCUCGCGGAAUUGCGACGGCGGAUCGAAGAGGCAAGCAUGGACUGGCUGGUGCCCGAUCCCUAAGCGAAGUGAAAGUUAGAUGUGUGGGCACGGGAUGCGCACGAAUUCAUUUUUUCGGCCUCACCGUGCACUUUUUUUCCACCAUGCACGCGGCAUCAGUUCCCAUGUAUACCUAGCGACCUAGCCUAUAUGGCCGGCUCGCGAUAUCUUCCCUCACGUACACAUCCAUAUUAAAACAGAGAUCGUGUGGCCACUCUCUCCUUCUCUUUCUCUCUCUCUCUUUCUCUUUCGUCCACCGUUCGACCGGUCUCCCGUCCUCCACUUAUCCACCUAUGCGCGCACGGUAGAUGAGAGUAUCGACGCGUCUCCACUACUCUCUCGCGGGCGCAUACCGCCUUCCAUUCCUAGCGACGUAGAAGAGCAACUUGUACACAACCGUGGCCUGCCUCUAGCCGUGACUUAUCGGCUCUUAUGCACCUUAGACGUGUCCCUAGGCCGAGGAGUAUCGAUUCCGGAGGAGCGACGCUACCAGCCUCUCGUGAGAUCCGCGCUUCCCCUCCUACGGAUCCUAACCUUUUAAUCGGCAGGAUGUACUCGUUGGAAAGGGUCGAUUCGAUUUUUCGAUGCGAAGGAAGGGGGGAAGAUGGGAGAUUUUUGGAUCCUUUUGGAUGAUUUCGAAGUUUAGGAGAGAAAAGUUCGUGUAACGAUGAUGAGGAUAUCUGGUUGAGGAUAUGCAUAUGUUGGUGUUGGAGCGCGUGGAGUUGGAGGAUAUUAAAAAUUUGAGGAGUUUAGAGUUUUGAGAACUUGGAAGAUUAAAAAAUUCAGCAGGAAGGUGUAUUAAAGAGAAGUGGAAGUUUGGGUUAGAGAGAUAUUUGAAGAGUAUAUUGAGCGGAUCGUUGAUGUAUUAGCGAGUGAAAGUUUGAGAGUAUUGAAGAUACAGAGAGGCAUUUAGAAUCUUGAGAAUUUGAGGAAUUAUAAUUAAAGUAAGGAGCCUCGUGGACAGUUAAAUGAUUGGACAGGAUUUUGGCUAUCGAUGCAAUUUUGAUACAGGAAAUUUUUAAAGAAAUUAUAAGUCAAGAAAUGUGAACUUCAGUAGAAUGGUUUUAGAUUGAUUCAGAUAUUUGUACGUUUGUUAAUUUUGAAAGUUUUGGAAAAUCAUUAACAAUAAAUGAUGCAUCUUUUAAUCGAUGUUUGAAAAGAUAGUCAAAUAACGAAAAUUUCAGAGGAACUAUACAAAGAAGAAGCAAUAUCCGUCUUUCUUAAAAUCAUUUUAUCUCCUUUGGUCACUGUAUCCAUCAUCGACAGUUUUAUCGGCAGAUUUACUCGAGUUUCUCCGAGGUACAUACAUGUUCGAACCGUGUUGCCCUAGUAUAUUCUAGGUGACGCGAAAUCGUGGCUCGUUAUCGAGCGUGCGAUCGAGAUCGCGAGCUGGAAAUCUCGAGGACCGAAAUUUCUUGCUCCAGAUCGCUUCGUACAGCGUAGGAUGUAUACCAGCGAAUCCUGGUCAGAAGAAUACACGACCUUUCUAAUCGAUGUAGGCAAUCCGUCUUUUCCUCUUUCUCGCAUAUGCCCAUUAUAUCUUCUCGUUGAGAAGAAUUUUUCGAUUAAUUCUUCUCCAAUUCGUAUAGAGAUCUCUAGAUCAAAAUCAAUACCGUUUCGUCCUUCCCUUUCCGUUCGCGUUUCCUUUCUUUCUCCGUCGAUAUAACGGAGUUAUAAGUCAAUCCAGACGUAUGGGAUGAAUUUCGAUGAAAAUUAUUCGUUAGUAAAUGUAUUUUCGAUCGAGUAUCAGUGAUUUUUAUUUAUAUAGGAAAAAUCUUUUGCGUUCUCUAAUAGGUGAAAGUGCGUUAGAUAUUAGAAAUUAAAUUUCACGAGUGUUUUUUUAGGACUAUGACGGAAACAUAUUUUCUUUUUUAAGAUAGAAUUAUUCUUUUCGUCUUGCAAUAUAAAAAUUCGAGCUUGAAAAAGAUUGGGAAGAUUUUUAUUUAACAAUACAGAUAGAAUCGAUGGAAAAUUAGAUCGAAAUCUUGUCGAACUCGGCCUCGGCACCAUUUGCAUCGAUACCUCGUGCGAUACGAUUAUUCAAAAACGGAACGUGUAACAAGUUUUAAGACACGAAUUCGUCGUACGUAAUCAGAGUCGCGAUACAAAUUAUGCGAUCGUGGUAUCCACUACUUCGUUUCUAACUCACAGUUAUCAGUUGCUUGCACUUAGUGGCUGUAACCAUUCGGCUAUAGAAUGGACUGGUGGCGACGCGAAAUCGAUGAACGCCGACAGCCUCGUGGGAUCGAGAUCGCGUGAAUCGAAAUUUUCUAUGCUGCUCCGACAAACAAACUGACUUUUAGCUCGUAUUUCACACACUCAUCGUUAAGAUAAAUCUAGCCGUGAUUGCUUAAGCGCACAGUGGAUAUUUUUUUUAAAAGAAAAAUGUAUUGCAAAACGUGAAAUGAGGUGAUGUGAUAUAUAUGAGAAAAAAGAGUAUAUUGAAACUUUUUCUUCUCUUUUAUAUUAUGAUAUAAAUAAUGUAGCAAAGAUGAACCGAGAUUAUUUGAUUUUUGCAGGCAUGUCGAAGUGUUAUUAUCAGGAAAAAGUAUAUGUAAUUCAAAAAUUUGUAUACUUUAUUCUAUUAUCCAUUUUGAAUUACUUAUGUCGAAUUAGAUACUCCUAACGCUAAAUAAAUCUUAAUUUCGCAAUUCCAUCCGUUGUUCCUCCACAUCACUGGCAUAAUUCCAUCUUAAAUAUGGACAGACUCGUUCCCACAUCGACCAUCUUAAAACCAUCGUAUUACACAAAGCCUUCGUAAACUCACCUUUUCAUUACUACAAUGUCCCAUCUUCAUCCAUCGACUUUAAUUUUUUUUCUGGCCAUAACUUCAUUUACAACCUCUCAUUUACUUUCUCGUGAUCUCGAGACGCCAAUCCGGUCUAUUCGACGUCUAUUUCCGGAAAUAACGCUUUUUACGACAUCCUUCUCCUUUAACCAACACACGUGUCAUUCACCUCGGAGGUUGCAGCGCCUCCGUGUAUCAGGACAGAUAAGCAGUUUUGGGACGCAACAACGCGCCGUGAAAAGAGGUUAUAUUCCCGAGAAAAUCGAGAUGUGUCGCGGCGUUCUUUCACGCGAGCCGGGAUUGACGAAAACAAUAAUGUACAAGGGGAUGAGAAACGUAUCGAUCAGGGUGGCGAAACAAUGGCUCCGGCUCGAAGGUAACAAAUGAUCGCCUCCUUAUCUAGAGAAAGGAUGAACAACGUCACGGUCAGCUCUCAUCCGAAAAAAUUGCCAUUUUGGCAUUAUUUUCGACGAAUAGACAUUUUGGCCAUUUUCACGUUGUAAUUUUUGUCAUGUCUGCGCCGAUUUCUUUCUUCCCUUUCUUCUGAAAUGAACGAGUCAAAAAAAUAAUUGAAAAAUAUCUAAGCAAGUCUUACGUCUUUACGUUUUAAACAAAUCCCUUAUUAUCCCUUACGAAAAUGAAAAGAGAUAGAGAGAAAACUUCUUUUCAAUUCAAAAGAAGUUUCGACCGUUAGAUUAAAUUAUUUAUUUUCAUAUAUAGAUACUGGUCUAUAUAUAAAUUUGUUGAAGCGAUUGAUUAUCCACAUCCCCUCCAUCCUAUCUUACCCCCUCCCUCCCCCCUUAAACAUCAAUUCCCGUAUGUUCCUCCACUUCUCGAUACAAACUACAAUAUAAAGAAAAAGAAAAACGAAAAAAAGAAAAGAAAAAGAAAAAAUUAUUGUUCGAUUGAUAGAUAGCCUGUUAUCAUUUUUUCCCAUCGUAUCCUCUUCCUCGCUCUGUCUCGACAUUUACCUUAUUAUCCCGCGAUCGCGAACCUUUCUUGGUUGCUCGUUAUCACGGGCCCAUUAAAUUUUUCUACCCGCUCGUCGAGAACGAUUUCGCCGAAUAAUAAAGUACUCGUCCCGAUCCCCCCCGUAUCGAGAGGGCACGUAAUACGUUGUCAUAGGAAGAGGAUCCUCUUGGUGCAGGAGCGCGUGCACGCGCGUAUACGAAUAAGCGGCUCGAUUCGAAGCCAAUCAGCCCCCGUAAUGGAGAUCGAUAGCCGUAAGUUGGUCCUCGCGAUACACGCGGUCCCCUCCUCCCCUCCCUCCUGUUCGUAUAAUGCUCGAUUCGUACUCCGGAGACGUGCCCCCUCCUUCUUUUAUUCCACUUUCCUUCCUGAUUUUCUUCGUAUAAAUAUAUUUGGCGAAAUAAUAAUGGCGGAGAAAUUUUGGGGCCGAGACGAGGAGGAUUGGAUUGGAUAAUUUUUGAAAAAUUUGUAUUUUGUAAUUAUUGUAAUAUCUUUUAAGUAGAAUAACGAUUAAAUAAUAAAGAUAUGUUCCAAUGGAGUGGUUCGUGGAGUGUGUGUAUUAUUCUUUUCAAGUUUGGUAGAUAUUUUGACGCGAAGUUAGGGUUGGGGAAAUUUUUUUGUCCGAGGGAACAGGGUUGUGUGCGACAAAUACGACGGUCCUUUUAAUUCUUUUCAUAAUUGUAUCGUUAGAGGGAUAACAAGUGGAAAUUAAAUUUUUUGUACGAAAGUUUUACAUUGCACGUGUAUGAGAGAUGUCCCGUAAUAUCAGGAGGAGAGAAAGACCAGGUUUCCUUGGACGUGAACGCUUUCGCGUUAUCGUUGAACAAACUGAAACUGAAGAAACAGACGAAUGGACGUUAUGGAGAUGAAAUACUGGCACUGUCCACUGUGCCCCACCUGUGCCCUUAUCUGUACAAACAGCUCGUAUCCCGUCGGUUCUGGAGAGACACGCGGGUCACUUCACUGUUUCCCUUUUUUUUUUUCCGGUUUCAUCGUGUGGCCAGCACACAUUGGACCAAGUAAUCAAACAGAUAUAAAAAAUUCCAAAUCUCUUUAUUUUUUAUUUACUUCACGUAUAUUAUUAUCACUAUUAUUGAAUCAUUUAUUAUUGAUAUUGUCUUGUUGAUCUAAAUUUGAUAUUAACUGAAUUAAAUUUAACAAUUCGGAUUAAUUUAUCAGUUGUAUAAUUAGCAUAGGAUAAAGAUCGAUAGCGACGAAGCUUAAAUUUACCUUUUGCGAAGAUCGAUGACCAAGUUGAUGGAAAUAAAUGACACCGAUGGAGAAAAUUUGUGGUUUAAUUUAAUAGGCAACGAGUAAGUAAGUUUAUUCGAAAUAUUCUUCGACGAUGUCAUUCGAGAUAUUGCCUAGCAUUACAUCGCUCCUUUGAAUAGAAAACAGAGUCGGCUAGGGAUGUAACCGAGGUUGUAACAUACUACAUGUUUGAUUUAAGAUAGUUUUGUAACGUUUACAUGCAUGGGGUCCGUGUUUGCCUACAAUGUUUCUCUUUACUUCAGAUGCUAGGUAAGGUCAGCUUCACGAGAAAUGGUACAAGAUGAAGAUUGGGGAGUUAAUUAAAGAAAAUUUAUGUCCAACUUGUUGGAAAAAUUGAAAUUAAUUAUUCACUAGGUUGUUGAUAAUCCUUGGACACUCGAUCAUUUGUUAUAACGUAAUUAUUCGCAGAAAUUGAUUUGUAAAAUUCUAUAUUCAAACUACAUUUUCUUCUUCUUCUAUAUAUAUAUCUCAUUAUAGCUUUAUUGAAUUAAAUUUUUCGAGCUCUCUAUGAAAAUCAGCUCACUCGCGAUAAUUCAUUAACGCAUUCAACAAGACUCGUACAAGACAAAUUUACCUUGCACCCGUCUUCAAAAUAAAAAAGUAGAGAAGAAAAAAUUAAAAAGAAAAAGAAGAAAAAAAAAAGAACGUAUUACGAUAUAUACUCUUAUAUAUCCUUCAUUUCAAUGCAUCGAGAGUCAUUAAAUUCUCUUUAAAAAGAAGAAGCGUCAUUCGUCUGUUCGCCUCACAAAAGGAUCGCAUGCGCGGAUGAUUAGAAAUCGUUUUCACAGAUGCGUUCCACGGUGAGGCGCACGUGAGUUCACGUUACGUGUAGGAGCGAGCCUUAUAAUAGAAUGACGGCCUCACAAUGCGCCGCGUCUACGAGUUUACAAGGGCCCGGCGAGUGUAGUGUUAAGUGAAAGUGAGGUAAAAUCGCUGACCACGAUGCUCUCCGACCCUCCAUUUGCCUCCACUGCCACGAUGAAAGCCGCGUAUCGCGCAACGAAAUUUUACGAAACGUUGUAACACCCAUACCUGUGCGCAUCGGGGCCAACGCCCGAUGGUGCCUUCCCCUCUUCCACUUUUUAGUUUCGAUUCACGAAAGUGGGAACAAUGAACGGUAUUGUUGAUAGUGGCGUGGAAUUUUGUUUGCGAUUUAGAUACGGGUCUGAUAGUUUCGGCGUGGACGAGCGAAGCACGAACAAAGAUUUGUGUGGUAUAUUUUUAUUUUGAAAACUACUUCCUUUUUUUUUGUUCAAUUUUGGCGAUUCAUAUUAAAUGUUAAGUAUUUAUUGGACGAGUUAUCGGCCUUUUAAAAAUAAACCGUCUUCCUUUAUCUUUAAUCUUUGGUUCACAAAAUUUUAUUCCAUUGUUUGGCAUAUUUGAUUUCCCCAAAAGUAGACUGAACAUCUCUUCGUGUUUUUUUGUAAAUAUAUAUCAUUUCCAUUAAUUAGAUACACGAUUUCAUAUUGUUUAAUGUCACCUCGCAUAACUUUCACGUAACUUAAUUAAAUUAAUACCGGAAUAAAACGUGGAACGUGAUAAAAGAACGUGAUUAAAAAAAUAUAUGGCCACUAUACGUACGUCGUGGAUAAUAAAAAUUAAUUCGCCCAAUUUCGUCGAAUACACUCGAGGAAAUUUAUCAGAAAUGAAAAGAUUUCGCGGUUUCCGGCCAGUUUUCGCGACCUUAUUCCUAGACACGUGGCGUUACAGUCGUGGACGACCAUUUGUCGUGUCCAUGACAAAUUACGGAUCGUUUCACGGUUGUAACGUGCCCGCUCACGCGUCUAAGGAACUCUGUGUUAGGUCCCCGGGCACAGUAAGAAGAGGCGUCAGAGGGUGGAUUUUUACUCGAGGCCGGGACAAUGGCGGGCCUUAAAGUCCCGGGGACAGUCGUGGCGCGAAUAAUACCUUUCGGGAUUAGGAUCGGUAAAAGUGUGGACCACCCAAUGGAAAAAAAGAGGGAAUCGAAGAGGAUAGGGGGUGGGAAAUCGCGCGUGCGAUCCCGCGGAUUAGUUUCUUUCCUCGAAGGGAUGAACGAGAAAACGAUUUCGUGCACGUUCACGCGAGAGAUUUGAAAUAACGUGAAAACGUUGGAUCGUGGAUUCACCUGGAUCUCCUUGAUUAUUUUUAUGCAACGAUUUCUGCGCGAUUGCAUUCGAGAAGGAUGCGUAUAAGAUUGCAGAUCUCUGGUUUCAAUCGAAAAUCAACAACGCGAGCAGCAACAAGAGACGCGGAGAGAGGAGAGAAAGAGAGGAAAAGAGAUGGUGAAUUCUCGUUUCGAUCGACGAUUUUCAGUUUCACCCUAGCGAGGAAAAAAAAAAAGAGGAGAGGAGGAAGGUGAAAGGAGAAAAAAAUGCGCCCUAACGGAUUCCAGGGUGAAAGACGAUCGAAAGACGGAGGGGCGAAGGUAAGAUGGUCGAUCUGGGCCAUAAAGAGGAAAUGAACACAUUGGUGCAUUAAAAUAUUCUCAGCUAUGGCAUGAAUCGAUGUUCUUUUCUUUUCGAAUUCACGUUCCAUAUGUCGAAAAUCGAAUUACACAUAAUAUAGCUAUUUCGUACACAAAAAAAAAUCUAACAGAAAUCGUUUUCUAUCAAUACGAGAUUAUAUUAUUUUUUAUCUUUAAUUUUAAUGUGUAGAAGAUAUCGAUAUUAACAUUUAAUGAUAUCUUCAAUUUUAAUAAAAUUCUAAGGAACAAAGAGAGAAAGAGAGUGCAGCGGAAUUAAAAUCAAUUUACAGAAAAAGAAGACAGAAGGAGUAUUAAGAUAAAGAAGCAAAUCCUCGGAAUUUUUCUUCGAUACAAUAUAUAACCAAUAUUAAAAAAUAAAAAUCAAUAUUAACACAACAUUGACGAAAUUCGUUCAAUCUUAUAUUCCUUUUCUUAAAACAAUAAUUAUCUAAAUUCAACCAAGAUUUAACACAUUACUUUAUUCGCCAUUUAAAAAAGAAAAGAAACCUUUUCUUUAUUCGACCUAUUAUCUUCCUGGCCCCCGGUUCUUCCCCCCUCCCUCCCCCCAUGCUUAUUUCUCGUUCCACCGCUUAUCUUUACGAUAUUUGCGCGUAUUAUCUCGCGGCGUGUACACACGAUCCGGGAUUUCAGUACUCGUGUAGGACAAACCCGCGUUCGUUUGCCAAGAGACGAGAGAAGUUCGUUACGUCCCCUUUUUUCUCUCCGUUUAUCCACGUAGGAGGAAUUAUUCCGGUCAGCGGAGAAAUUAUCUCGUCUCUCCCUCUUUCUCUCUCUUUCUUCGACCAAAGAAAGAGAGGUGUUUGAUUCCCUUCCUGGUCUUUUCCUUCCUCGUCAAGCCGAGAGUGGGCGUAGAGCAAGAGGGUGGUGGUCGAGAGAGAGAGAGAGAAAGAGAGGUGAAAAAUAACGUCUUGUUCACCCUCUCUGCUUCAGCCAUCCCUUACGCUGAUUCCUCGCUGUUACGAGGACGUUACGUCGGUAAUUAGCAUAGUCAUCCACAGGUGGUUGAUCGUGAAAUAUCGUCGAGAUGUAUAUAUACAGAGGAGAAAGAACCUGGUCUGGAUGUAUAUAAACGAAAGGUGAAAGAGGAAGAGAGGGAGAAAAAGUCGGGUGAAUCUGUCGUGGAAUAAUAAGGGGAUCUCGUGGAGGAUAAUCGACGAUGAGGACGAUAGCUUAAGAACGCAACCAGACUUCGUUAUAUAAUUCGAUGUCUGAUUUAGUUUCAUGAAUUUUCCCCACCACUGUGCUGUGCUUUAUGUGUGAUUUAUUGGGAUUUUUCGAACGGAAUGGCGAAUUUUUCUUUUUUUUUUUUUUUUUAAUUUUAUUUUAUUUUCGAAGUUGCUAUGAUUUAUUUAUUCCGUUUUCUGUAUUCUGUUUUUCAAUUUAUGGAUGUGUAAUAAAUUUCUUUAUACCAUAAUGUAUUCUAUAUUUUAAUAAAAUAGAACACGAAACAGAUUUCUUUCUUUUUUUUUUUUUUCUGUUUUAAAAGUUGCAUCGAUUAAUUUCUUCUUUCUCUUUUGGAUUUUAAUUCGAUAAUUAUAUAAUUCGAUUGGAAAAAAGAAGAAUUUAUUAUUUUUAGUAGUCCAAGUAACAACUUUAAUCGAGUAUUCAAAUUUUUAUUGUAAACUUUGAAAUUGUUUAUAAAGCACAUUCAAUUAAAACGUCUUGCAAGAAGAAUUAUUAUAUUUUCCCUUAACAUCUCGAAAAAUUUAUUACAAUUAUCUGAAAUUUCUUGCACCCAUUUAACCGUAAUUUAUUUUCUCUACAUAUCAAACAAAUUAUCCUCAAUUAUCAUUUUAUUUACAAUUCAUUCGUUAUUUAUACAAUGCACAAAAUGUACUUCAUUUUUCUUACAAUCCAAUUCUAUUUAUUAUAUCUAUAUAAUUAUAUUAUAUCUAUAUUCUAUAUUAUAUCUAUUAUAAUUUAAAUAUCAGAUUGAAAUUUUUACUCACAACGCGAUUAUUUUAUUUAUCAUACACAAUCCCACAAUUAAUUAUCAACAAUUUCGUUUCUAAUACAUUUCAUUUCUGUUUCAGGGAAUAAUGAAAAAUUCGGAGUAUCAAAUGAACGAAUAUCAAUCAAUAUAGAAUAUCAAAUUCUCAACCUCUCUGUGAAGAACAGAACGAGAUUCCAAGCCGAAAAUAUUCACAAGAGCACGGAUCCAUUUACCAUUUUUACUUACUAAGCAUCCUUCAAUAAAUUAAAUUCUCGCUCCACUAUCAAAGCACUCGAUGUAACAACUUCUAUCCGUAUAAAACGCAAAAAAAGAAAAAAAAAAAAGAAA